AUUGAACGCUGGCGGCAUGCCUUACACAUGCAAGUCGAACGGCAGCAUGGAGAGCUGCUCUCUGAUGGCGAGUGGCGAACGGGUGAGUAAUGCAUCGGAACGUACCGUGUAAUGGGGGAUAACGUAGCGAAAGUUACGCUAAUACCGCAUACGACCUGAGGGUGAAAGCAGGGGAGCGCAAGACCUUGCGUUAUACGAGCGGCCGAUGGCAGAUUAGCUAGUUGGUGAGGUAAAGGCUCACCAAGGCGACGAUCUGUAGCGGGUCUGAGAGGAUGAUCCGCCACACUGGGACUGAGACACGGCCCAGACUCCUACGGGAGGCAGCAGUGGGGAAUUUUGGACAAUGGGGGCAACCCUGAUCCAGCCAUGCCGCGUGAGUGAAGAAGGCCUUCGGGUUGUAAAGCUCUUUCGGCCGGGAAGAAAUCGCACAGGCUAAUACUCUGUGUGGAUGACGGUACCGGCAUAAGAAGCACCGGCUAACUACGUGCCAGCAGCCGCCGUAA
rnacentral:rRNA from 1 species